rnacentral:rRNA from 1 species
AACGAACGCUGGCGGCAUGCCUAACACAUGCAAGUCGAACGAGACCUUCGGGUCUAGUGGCGGUCGGCUGCGUAAGACGGGGGAACCUGCACGUAGGUUCGGAAUAACUCCCCGAAGGAGAUGCUAAUAACGGAUAAUGUCUUACGACCUAGGAUUUAUCGCCUUUGGAUGGGCCCGCGUUGGAUUAGCUGGUUGGUAGGGUACAAGCCUACCAAGGCGACGAUCGAUAGCUUGUCUGAGAGGAUGACCAGCAACGCUGGGAGUGAGACACGGCCCAGACUCCUGCGGGAGGCAGCAGUGGGGAAGAUUGGACGACGGGAGAAAGCCGGAUCCAGCAAGGCCGCGGGAGUGAGGAAGGCGUGAGGGAUGUAAAUCUCUUUUACCCGGGAUGAUAAUGACAGUACCGGGAGAAUAAGCUCCGGCUAACUCCGUG